rnacentral:rRNA from 1 species
UACAGAGGUCUCAAGCGUUGUUCGGCUUCAUUGGGCGUAAAGGGUGUGUAGGUGGCGCCGUAAGUGGGGUGUGAAAUUUCGAGGCUUAACCUCGAAACUGCAUUCCAUACUGCGGUGCUUGAGGACUGGAGAGGAGACUGGAAUUUACGGUGUAGCAGUGAAAUGCGUAGAUAUCGUAAGGAAGACCAGUGGCGAAGGCGGGUCUCUGGACAGUUCCUGACACUGAGACACGAAGGCCAGGGGAGCAAACGGG